rnacentral:rRNA from 1 species
CCCUUAGAUGUUCUGGGCUGCACACGUGCUACACUGGCAGGUUCAGCGAGCUUCAUGCCCUGAUCUGAAAGGAAUGGGAAAUCUUUUCAAAACCUGCCGUGCUUGGGAUAGAUGUUUGCAAUUAUUCAUCUUCAACGAGGAUUGCCUUGUAAGCGCAUGUCAUCAGCAUGCAUUGAAUACGACCCUGUAUUCUGUACACACCGCCCGUCGCUCCUACCGAUUUCGAGUGAUCCGGUGAAUCAUUCGGACCGCGGCCCCUAGGCAUGCGGAAAGUCUAGUAAACCAUAUCACUUAGAGGAAGGAGAAGUCGUAACA